rnacentral:lncRNA from 1 species
CAGCCUACCAGCGCUCGCCGACGGACAAGCCGCCGUUCACGCUGGGUCAGAUCAAGAAGGCAAUCCCGCCUCACUGCUUCCAGCGCUCGAUCAUCAAGUCCUUCUCCUACGUGGUCCAUGACCUGGUCAUCGUCGCGGCCCUGCUGUACGCGGCGCUGGUUUGGAUCCCUACCCUCCCGACCGUGCUGCAGCUGGGCGCCUGGCCGCUGUACUGGAUUGUGCAGGGCUGCGUCAUGACCGGCGUUUGGGUCAUUGCCCACGAGUGCGGCCACCACGCCUUCUCCGACUACUCACUGCUCGACGACACCGUCGGCCUGGUGCUCCACUCGUGGCUGCUCGUCCCCUACUUCUCGUGGAAGUAC